rnacentral:rRNA from 1 species
UACAGAGGAGCCAAGCGUUGUCCGGAUUGACUGGGCGUAAAGCGCACGCAGGCGGGUGCGCGCGUGGGGGGUGAAAUCUGGCCGCUUAACGGCCAGGCGCCAUCCCAUACGGCGCGCCUGGAGCCUUGCAGAGGUCGGUGGAAUUCCCGGUGUAGCGGUGAAAUGCGUAGAUAUCGGGAGGAACAUCAGUGGCGAAGGCGGCCUUCUGGUCCAGUACUGACACUCAAGUGCGAAAGCGUGGGGAGCAAACAGG